rnacentral:rRNA from 1 species
UACGAAGGGGGCGAGCGUUGUUCGGAAUCACUGGGCGUAAAGGGCGCGUAGGCGGCCCUCUUAGUCGCGUGUGAAAGCCCCGGGCUCAACCUGGGAACGGCGCGCGAAACGGGAGGGCUGGAGUUCGGGAGAGGAGAGUGGAAUUCCCAGUGUAGAGGUGAAAUGCGCAGAUAUUAGGAAGAACACCCGUGGCGAAGGCGGCUCUCUGGGACGGUACUGACGCUGAGACGCGAAAGCGUGGGGAGCGAACAGG